GAUGAACGCUGGCGGCGUGCCUAAUACAUGCAAGUAGAACGCUGAAGGAGGAGCUUGCUCUUCUGGAUGAGUUGCGAACGGGUGAGUAACGCGUAGGUAACCUGCCUGGUAGCGGGGGAUAACUAUUGGAAACGAUAGCUAAUACCGCAUGACAACAGUUAUUGCAUGAUAACUGUUUAAAAGGGGCAACUGCUCCACUACCAGAUGGACCUGCGUUGUAUUAGCUAGUUGGUGAGGUAACGGCUCACCAAGGCGACGAUACAUAGCCGACCGGAGAGGGUGAUCGGCCACCCUGGGACUGAGACACGGCCCAGACUCCUACGGGAGGCAGCAGUAGGGAAUCUUCGGCAAUGGACGGAAGUCUGACCGAGAAACGCCGCGUGAGUGAAGAAGGUUUUCGGAUCGUAAAGCUCUGUUGUAAGAGAAGAACGAGUGUGAGAGUGGAAAGUUCACACUGUGACGGUAUCUUACCAGAAAGGGACGGCUAACUACGUG
rnacentral:rRNA from 1 species